CAAAUAUUACAUUUUGUUUCUGUUUCAUGCUUAGGUUAAGUUUUCUAGAGAAUUCAGGGUUUAGUCAUAUUUAUCUAGAAGCAUAUACCAAAUGGGAAGGAAUAACAAUGUGGCAAAUGGAUCAAAAGUUGCGGCUCAUGGAAUAAUCGUAGUGUAGCUAUAUUCUGUAACCUGUGUAUCAAGGAGGUGGAGGCAGGAAAUCGUCACGGCACUGUUUGAAGAAAGUGGGAUGGAAAAAAUGAAAGGUUAAAUCCACUAAAGAGACAGGAAAAUAGUAUGAUAAAACAGAAUGGAAAAACAAAUGGGAUGCUCCCAAAGAGCAAAGGAAAUUGUGGAAAGAACUAAUUGGGAAGGAAAUUGGCUUUGGGGGUGAAAUCCCAAACUUUGCACAAUUGACGCUUCUGAUGAAUGCUAGUGCAAUAAAAUUCGGGUAAAUAAUUGCGUAACAAGGUCAUUAGUCUUAAAUUGGACGAGCAGCUCGAUAGGAUGUUCAUAAACACGACGACGACUGGUGGACAUGCUUGGGCACCCAGUUCUGGUGUACUUCCAUCUGACAUUCCGGAGGCAUCUAAAGUUGACGACUUUCUGCAAGAAAGCAGUGGUGAUCUAGAUGAUCUGAUCGCAAUAGAAUAAAUCUACCAACACUAGUUUCCAUUAACAUGUAUUAUAGAGAAGCUAUUUGGAAGGGUUCCGGGGUACAUACAAUAUAACCUCAACCAAAUUUUUCACCCUUUC